UACGUAGGGCGCAAGCGUUGUCCGGAAUUAUUGGGCGUAAAGAGCUCGUAGGCGGUCUGUCGCGUCGGUCGUGAAAACCUGCAGCUUAACUGUGGGCUUGCGGUCGAUACGGGCAUGACUGGAGUUCGGCAGAAGAGACUGGGAUUCCUGGUGUAGCGGUGAAAUGCGCAGAUAUCAGGAGGAACACCGGUGGCGAAGGCGGGUCUCUGGGCAGUAACUGACGCUGAGGAGCGAAAGCGUGGGGAGCGAACAGGAU
rnacentral:rRNA from 1 species